UUUGCCUGGCGGCACUAGCGCGGUGGUCCCACCUGACCCCAUGCCGAACUCAGAAGUGAAACGCCGUAGCGCCGAUGGUAGUGUGGGGUCUCCCCA
rnacentral:rRNA from 1 species